AUGGGUUUCACCUGAUCAGCAUGUGCUGGAGAUUACUUCAUUGCACUUAUUUUGCUGAAAGCAAGUACUGGAGGCAAUUUCCUUUUCCUCAAGAAGAAGAAAUGGUCUUCUUGAAAAUUACAAAUUAGACAAUCUUCAGAUUAGAGAGAAAGGUUUUUUUCCAAGUGUUUCAGUUCAUAGUUCUGUAUGAAAUGCUACCCGUGUGACAAGAAUUGUUUACAGAGAUGAAGAUCUUUGUCCCUGGGUCAAGGGUGUUAGGAAAAAAUGUGUCGGAGGAUAACCAACAUGUAUGUUAGGCUCAUUUAGAUCUCUUGCAAGGGGAGAAAUGAUCACAUUGGGCAGUAUCUUUGUGAAGAAUGAGUUGUACCAGGAGAAGUUACAUGAAUUUGAACAAUUUGAACAAAGUAACGCAUUCUGACAGUGACUGCUAUCGAGCACUUUCUACACAUGUAGAUUGACGGAUGAAUUGUAAAUGGUGCUGUGAAUAAGAAGCUCUAUUCAGAAGUCUUAGCCAUGAAACUGAGACCCAGAUUUACCAACAAUUGCAGGCACUUCAAGGAAGAAGGCUCUGCAAAUACCCUUUUCUUUUUGGUU